CAGUAGCCGCGGGAAUACGCAGGUGGCAAGCGUUGUCCGGAAUUAUUGGGCGUAAAGCGUGCGCAGGCGGUUGUGUAAGACAGGUGUGAAAUACCCGGGCUUAACCUGGGAACUGCGCUUGUGACUGCACAGCUAGAGUAUGGCAGAGGGGGGUGGAAUUCCACGUGUAGCGGUGAAAUGCGUAGAGAUGUGGAGGAACACCGAUGGCGAAGGCAGCCCCCUGGGCCAAUACUGACGCUCAUGCACGAAAGCGUGGGGAGCAAACAGGAUUAGAUACCCCCGUAGUCCCUGUCUCUUAUAC
rnacentral:rRNA from 1 species